AUGUCGACUGCAGGGAUAAUUAAAGUCUCCGCUGCGUGCCCCGUCUUCGAUGGAACUGAAUAUCCCUACUGGAAGAAUAAGAUGCGCAUGCAUCUUGAAGCCAUUGACGUCGACCUAUGGUAUGUCGUCAAGAACGGCGUUCCCAAGGCUGGAGAAGGUGUCACUGCUGCUGAUGUCAAGAAGUUCGUUCAACUGGACUCUACUGCCAAGAAUAUCAUCUGUGGUCAUCUGACCAAAGGACAGUAUGGCCGUGUGAGUGCUUUGGAAACAUCUAAGCUGGUCUGGGACUGGCUCUCCAAGGUCAAUGAAGGCGUCUCAACCCAGAGGGAUCAGAGAAUCAGUGUCCUUCGCAACCUCUUCAACCGCUUCAAGCGAAAUGACAAUGAGAAUGUCCAGCUCACAUUUGACCGACUCACUGACAUCACAAAUGAGCUUCAAGCCCUCGGCGCUACUGAGAUCACCAAGCAUGAAGUCGUCAAGACACUACUGAGAUCACUUGACAGUUCGUUUGACACCCUAGCCCUGAUGAUUCAAGAAUGUCCUGAUUUGAAGACACUCGAGCCGUCUAACAUACUUGAGAGGCUCAACACACAUGAGUUUCAGCUUUCUGAGAAAAGAGAUAUCUACGGUCCAAACUAUGGGAGAACUCGUGCCUUGAAGGCAAAAGCUGUCUCCUCAUCUGAAGAAGAAUCUGACAGCAGUUCUGAUGAUCCUGAAGACAUUGGAAGGGAACUUGCUAUGCUUGUCAAGAAGUUCCAAAAAUUCACCAUGAAGAAAGGCUUCAGAAAGUCUUCCCGAUCAAGCUCAAGGAAUGAUGAAGCUUCUGCUCACAACUACAAGAAGAAAACAUGUCACAAGUGCCAGAAACCUGGCCACUUCAUCUCCGAGUGUCCACAGUGGGACAAUGAGAACAAAAAGAAGAAGAAGAGCAAGGAAUAUGACUCUGACGACAAGAAGAAGAAGAAAUACUCAAAGUCUUCUUCCAAGUCUUCCUCAAAGUCUUCAUCACACAAGAAGAGCUCAUCUGGCAAGGCACGUGCGUUUGUUGGCAAGGAAAUGGAUUCAGAGGAGGAGUCCGCUUCUGAAGAGGCGAAGGUGGAGUUUGAGGAGGAGUCCGAUUCAGGCGUCGCGAGUCUGGCUACAGCAUACGUUGCCAAGUCGAUCUUCAACACUGAAGACAAUGACUUCAUCACCGACACCGAUGCAAAUGACAAGGACUACUCCGCUUCUACCUACUGCUUCAUGGCACGCGGUGCCAAGGUAAACACACGCACUACUCACUAUCAAACAUCUAGUGACGAUGACUCUGAUUGUGGUUCAAAACCCAGCUACAAAACACUUGCUAAAAUUGCAACUGAACAACAGAAAGCUAUGGAACAUAUUCAAAAACUGUUAGAUAGAAGCGAUGAUCUGUUAGGUGCUGAAAUGACUCGAUCUGAAUCCUUAAUUGAAGACACAAAAAAUCUUCACAUUAAGUAUCAGGAACUUGAAAGUCGUCAUGAAACUCUCUCAACAACUCAUGAAAAGUUUUCCUAUGAUUAUCUUCAAAGGAAGCAAGAUCUUGAGAAAUUGAGAGUGGCUCAUGAAGAUCUUCAAAAGGAAAACGAGUCACUUCACGCCAAACAGAUCAGUUCCGCUCAGGAAGGAUUUGAACCACCGUGCCUUAAAUGCAUUGAGUGUGAUAAUGCUACUUCUGUUGCUGAAUGUUCUACUGCUACUACCAUUGCAAUAUCUUCAACUGUUGAUGUGGUAACUAACCCCUCUGCUGAGGAUACCACUGCUAUUGCUGAUGAGAAUGCUAGGUUGAAGACAUUGCUUGAAACAGGGAUGUACAAAAGUCUUAAAGGGCAUCAGACACUAUGUGAUAUCCUCAAAAAGCAGAUUCUGAACCGAAACCCGAGGAAAGAGGGUGUUGGGUUUGUAAGGAAAAUGAAUGCUGAUGGCUCUUACUGGAAACCUGAGCAGUACCCCAAAACCACGUGGGUUGCUGCAAAGGAACCUUCAGCAGAUCCAUCCAAUCUAUCUGGCUUCACUUGUGCUAACCCCAUUAUCAUUGAUGAAUCCCUUGAUGCAAACUAUAAACUAUUUAAGAAUCAGAAUGGUGAAGUGUUUGCCAGGUACAUUGGUACUAACUGCAGGAAUGGACCGCCUAUGAAGAAGAUCUGGGUUCCGAAAAGGUGUCUGGAGAAUCUUCCUGUGAAUGUCAUCAUGACACCUCACGUGAAGAAGACAAACCUCAGUCCAAAGGCUUCAUAUAGACAGAGGACUCACCUGAGUCGCACUAACGCAAAUGUUUUGCAGGGAAACCAUGCUCAGGCAUAUGAACAUGAGAGUGGUUCAUCAAACCGCCAUGUUCAUAAGACCAAGAACUAUUCUGCUUAUUCUUAUGAGUACUAUUGUCCGCCUGCAAGACUGUUUGCUAGGGCUCCAAAGCCAAAGUUCUCAGAUGCUGCACUUAGACUUAUUGCUUCUAAGCCAUCCUUGAAGAUGUGGGUGGCUAAGAAAGCUUAA
rnacentral:rRNA from 1 species